rnacentral:rRNA from 1 species
GCGUGGAGACAGGUGGUGCAUGGCUGUCGUCAGCUCGUGUCGUGAGAUGUUGGGUUAAGUCCCGCAACGAGCGCAACCCUCACCCCUGAUUGCCACCGGGUAAAGCCGAGCACUCGAGGGGAACUGCCAGCGUCAAGCUGGAGGAAGGCGGGGAUGACGUCAAGUCAUCAUGCCCCUUACGCCCUGGGCUACACACGUGCUACAAUGGCCGGUACAAAGGGACGCGAGACCGCGAGGUGGAGCUAAUCCCAAAAAACCGGUCUAAGUUCAGAUUGCAGUCUGCAACUCGACUGCAUGAAGGAGGAAUCGCUAGUAAUCGCGCAUCAGCACGGCGCGGUGAAUACGUUCCCGGGCCUUGUACACGCCGCCCGUCACACCACGAAAGUCAGCUGUACUCGAAGUCGCUGAG